GCCAGUGUGUAGGGUAGAUGGUAGCUGUUUACUGCGUUGAUGAUAUUGGUCUUACUUAACAAGCUUUAACCCAUGCUUGAGUGAUAGCUGUAAAGGUAGAUCAAUGGUGUUGUAUAGUAAGAAGGGAGUUGAGACUUGGGGUAGCGGAGGUGUGUGGUGCCAAUAAGUCUAUAGUUAGUCUUUGUUUAAGGGAAGAUUCCUUGUGACAAUACCAAUGUGUGUGUUUGGUGCCAUGCUAUAAAUGGUGGAGAUUGGAAGACCACUCUGCAAAUCUUGGCUAUGAGUGUGUUUUCAGCCAAUGGUUUUGUUGUGCUGACUGUAAGUGAGGGCAUGCUAUAUUCCUUGAAGGUGUGUUUAUGAUACCUGUAUGGGAGCCCUUUGAAGCUCCAGAGCUUUAGUACAUCUACUACAAGUCUGGAAGGGGGAUGAGUCAGUGGUGUUGAAAAUGCAUUGGUGUGUACAGAUGGUGAGUACGUUAUUUGUAAGUUGUAUUGGGCCACAUGGUUUGUCAUGUGCCCUGAACCAUUUGAACAUAUAUGCAACAGUCUAUAUGCAAUGCAACUACUCAUAUCAAUCGUCUCUGGUAGUUCAGAGGUGCUGGUACCUGGAGCCUGAGAGUGCUCGUCCAUUUGUUUGGGACAGAACCCCUUCUGUAUGGGUACCUGC